rnacentral:rRNA from 1 species
UACGGAGGGUGCAAGCGGUAUUCGGAAUUAUUGGGCGUAAAGGGCGUGUAGGCGGCCAGAUAAGUCAGAGGUGAAAGCCCGGGGCUCAACCCCGGAAGUGCCUUUGAAACUAUUUGGCUUGAGUGCGGGAGAGGAAAGCGGAAUUCCCAGUGUAGAGGUGAAAUUCGUAGAUAUUGGGAGGAACACCGGUGGCGAAGGCGACACACUGGACCUUUUCUGACGCUGAGGCGCGAAAGCUAGGGGAGCAAACGGG